UUCAACGGUAAGUGAUUCUAUCCAAAAGAAGGUUACUAAACAACCUACCAAGGUAAGAAAAAGAAUCUGAGGACGGAGCUCGAGAGUUCAAUUCCAAUUCCCAACCUUACUGUCUCUACUCUAGCUUAUCAAUAAUGGCAACCAACUAAUACAUUAGAAGAGUCAAAAGAAGAGGUGCCCUACCAACCACAAAAAAGGAAUAAUUGAACUAUAUAACAUCUAGCAAGUUAUGUAUUUGGCCCCAUUCAGCU
rnacentral:lncRNA from 1 species